rfam:Shewanella sp. phage 1/40, complete genome.
GCGUAAUUAGCUCAGAUGGUAGAGCGCUAUCCUUCCAAGUUAGUGGUCAUCGGUUCGAAUCCGAUAUUACGCU